AAUCUGCGUCGUAACCAUAGUGCCUUUCAAGGUAUUGGGAAUUGGGAUAAGCCCAAACUGUACCCGCAACUGUAGAUGUACCCAUCGAGUAUGGGGACAUAAGUCAGAUACCAGCUUUGAAUAGCCUCAAUAU
rnacentral:ncRNA from 2 species